UACGGAGGGUGCAAGCGUUGUCCGGAUUUAUUGGGUUUAAAGGGUGCGUAGGCGGCCCGUUAAGUCAGUGGUGAAAGCCUCCAGCUCAACUGGAGAACUGCCAUUGAUACUGACGGGCUUGAGUACAGACGAGGUUGGCGGAAUUGAUUGUGUAGCGGUGAAAUGCGUAGAUAUCGUAAGGAAGACCAGUGGCGAAGGCGGCUUACUGGUCCGGUUCUGACGCUGAGGCGCGAAAGCGUGGGGAGCAAACAGG
rnacentral:rRNA from 1 species